rnacentral:rRNA from 1 species
AUUGAACGCUGGCGGCAGGCCUAACACAUGCAAGUCGAGCGAGCGGCGGACGGGUGAGGAAUGUAUGGGGAUCUGCCCGAUAGAGGGGGAUAACUACUGGCAACGGUGGCUAAUACCGCCUACUAUCGGUGGAACCCAUAAGGGAUUGGAUAGUAGGUGGGGUAAAGGCUCACCUAGGGGACGAUCUCUCGCUGGUCUGAGAGGAUGAUCAGCAACACGGGGACUGAGACACGGCCCAGACUCCUACGGGAGGCAGCAGUGGGGAAUAUUCCACAAGGGGCGAAAGCCUGAUGCAGCCAUGCCGCGUGUAUGAAGAAGGCCGUAGGGUUGUAAAGGACGUUCAGCGGGGAGGCGUUACCCGAAGAAGAAGCACCGGCUAACUCCGUGCCAGCAGCCGCGGUAAUAC